GAUGAACGCUGGCGGCGUGCCUAAUACAUGCAAGUCGAGCGAACAGACGAGGAGCUUGCUCCUUCGACGUUAGCGGCGGACGGGUGAGUAACACGUAGGUAACCUACCUAUAAGACUGGGAUAACUUCGGGAAACCGGAGCUAAUACCGGAUAAUAUUUCGAACCGCAUGGUUCGAUAGUGAAAGAUGGCUUUGCUAUCACUUAUAGAUGGACCUGCGCCGUAUUAGCUAGUUGGUAAGGUAACGGCUUACCAAGGCAACGAUACGUAGCCGACCUGAGAGGGUGAUCGGCCACACUGGAACUGAGACACGGUCCAGACUCCUACGGGAGGCAGCAGUAGGGAAUCUUCCGCAAUGGGCGAAAGCCUGACGGAGCAACGCCGCGUGAGUGAUGAAGGUCUUCGGAUCGUAAAACUCUGUUAUUAGGGAAGAACAAACGUGUAAGUAACUGUGCACGUCUUGACGGUACCUAAUCAGAAAGCCACGGAUAACUACGUG
rnacentral:rRNA from 1 species